GGCGAGUGAAGGGGGAAAAGCUCAAAAUUAAAAUCUGGCAGGACUUGAUUCUGUCCGAAUUGUAGUUUAUAGUAACGUUUUCGGGGGUGGCUGGGGUCCAAGUCCGUUGGAAAGCGGCUGCCAUAGAGGGUGAUAGCCCCGUACGAUCCUGCACCCACUCCUAUGUGAUACGUUUACAAAGAGUCGUAUAGCUUGAGAAUGCUGUGCUAAGGGAGGUAAAUACCUUCUAAAGCUAAAUAUUGGCGAGAGACCGAUAGCGAACAAGUACCGUGAGGGAAAGUUGCAAAGAACUUUGAAAAGAGAGUUAAAUAGUACGUGAAAUUGUCCAAAGGGAAACGCUUCGACACCCUCGCGCGGGGCGCGGCCAUCAACCUUACUUUUUUUUUUUGAAAAAAAAAACAAACUGGGGCNCNCUGGCUCGUUGCUNUGGCUNAAGAUCGGCUNUNUUUGGAGNAAAAAGNCCUGUGNAAGGNAGCUNUUUUUUCGGGGACAGNGUUAUAGCCGCUCGUUGAUGCUNUGGGNGGGGCCGAGGANCCUUGCUGCANUCUUGGGGAAGCUUCCGCCUUGAUAACAAACNUUUUUGACANCCUGNNUGACNUUGAGNUUUCUNUNUAUUAGAAACNGGUGUUUCCCNCUUUUUAUUUGCAAAAAAUCUUAAAAGAACGGUCCGAAGCGACCCGUUUUGAAACCCCGACCAAGGGGUCCAACACAUUGGCAAGUCUUUGGGUGUCAAACCCGAGGGCGAAGUGAAAGCAAUUUUUACAGGUGUCACCCUCUCUCGUUAAAAAAGGGAGGCGCAGCAUCGGCCGGAUCUUGAGGUUUACCAAAGGAUCUGAGUAGGAGCCAAUUUGUUGGGACCCGAAAGAUGGUGAACUAUACCUGAGUAGGGUGAAGUCAGAGGAAA
rnacentral:rRNA from 1 species